GGGAGAUGUCAGGGGGGGGGGAGGCCGACGGUGGCAGACACCACCACCAAGACACGCAAACUGUGACCAAACAUCAAAAGAGAAGAGCUGCAGGUGACCCCUGGGGACUUCUGGCUGCUGGCUAUGUGCCACCCACCAUGGUCACACAUCUUUCUAGGUGAAGGCUUAGCACCCAGGGGGCUCUAACCUGGCGAGACUAGGAAAGGACUAGCCGGUGUCAGAAAUGUACAAAAAACACACACUUGCACACGAAGGGAGAUCCUGCCAGCUUCCUCUUUCAUGCCUAUUACCUAUGCCUGUUAAACACAGAUUGUGCCGUGGUGCCUGGCCUGGGGGAAGGGGCUGCCUUGGACACAGACCAAAGGGACCUGUGGGAAGAGGGUUGGACUGACCACCAGGCUGGCUCUGGUGAGCCCAGCAGAAGCUGCUGAGGGUCCAGCCGCAUCCUCUGGCCCAACAUCCACGGUCCCAAGCAGUCCAUGUAAGCACUAACAUAAGCAGGCAGAGGUGAUGACACCCACAUCCACCCAGUAACCCCCCACAUACCCUAGCCACAAGCCCUAGCCCCUCCUUGGGUAACCUCAGAGCAUGACCUAAGGCUCUCCCUCCCCCACAUACACACACGAGAGGGUGCCAACAGCACACCACCAUAAUCUGCACUUUAUCAGCUUUCUGCCCUUUUAGGACUUGUGGACCCUCUUUCCCAGGUAGCGCCUAAGAAACCUCCAAAAUAAAAGAUUCUUUUGUCAGUCGGUAGGAAUCUGGAUUGAAACUGAGCUGCUAGCCCUCAAGCUUAGGAGGGCCAGCUGUGAAUGAGGCAGUGACAGGAGAUGACCUCCCUGUGGGAACCUCAGAAGCAAGGAUGCAAGAGUCAGCCACUGGAGAAGACUGCCAGUGCCAGACGUAGUACCAACUGUGUGCCCAGAACGUUCUGAGCCAGGGGCAGGUAAGACUGUCCCUAGGAUCACUAAUGCUUGCCAGAGUCGCAUGUGCAGCAGAACACUGCAGCCAGGUGAUGACGGUGACACCGGGUUCCUGGUUCCUGUCGGCAGAUGCCAACAGGAUGGGAAACCUGGCAUCGCCCGCCACCCUGCGGGUGCUUCUAGGUAAGUGCUCCAGAACGCCAACACUAUAGGACCACAGCGCGUCACUCAUCUGAUAGCGUUGCUCUUGUGUUCAGAACUCAGGAGGAAGCACUCAGGACACCAAGGGACACCCCAUCUGAUUCGACAUCACCAGCACGUGUUUUGAGGCAGGAGAGACGGUUCAGCAGUUAAGAACAGGUGCUGCUCUUGCAGAGGACCCAGGUCUUGUUCACAGCACUCAACGAUUUGUAACUCUCGUUUCAGGGAAUCUGAAACCCUUCUGGCCUGUGAGCACUAGGCAGACAUGUGGUGCACAGACAUGCAUGCAGUCAAGCACUCACGUACAUAAAAGAAAAUUUAAAAAUGGUUUUGGAACGUGUUUGUGUUCUAAGACAGACAGGGCAGAAUCGAUCAGUGACUUCCUGGCUGUGAGAGUCUCAUCAAUUUCUCUCACUGAAUGGAGUUUCAGGUUCCUGGUGUAUAAAAUUAAAAUAACCUCCGUCUUGGAGAGUUUCUCUAUGGA